CUAGAGUCAACUCCGYGAUYGGGACUAAGUCGUAACAAGGUAGCCGUAGGUGAACCUGCAGAAGGAUCA
rnacentral:rRNA from 1 species